AAUAGAUCAAGCACAUUCACUGACCAUUUUGGCUGCACAUAUACAACAGACAGAGAAGAUACAGACGGGAUUCGUCACAUCUUACAAUUCAUUCAGCAAAUUACAUGAUAUUGGCAAAUGUUUGGAAUAUCGCGAGCGGUUAUGUUACGUUGGUCCAACGUUUUCACAACAUGUUUCCAAGGGAAGCUACUCUUGUUAUAGAGGGCGCUGUUACUCACGCGCGUCUUUUCAAGCAGACGACGAAAGGAUGAUGCGCGGAGGGCUGAGGGAAAAUCUAUUUUGCGAUUCAGCGAUGUUCAACCAACGAGUCGCAAUCUCGGGGUGAGAGAGUAUUACAGCGGCAAGCAAAUAAAUAGCCAAACUUUUACUUACAUUAGUAUUUUUGAAUGAACAUUGCUUUAUUUGUCAUUGUCACAGGCGUAUUUGUUAAGUGUGGGGAUGGAUGAGGUUAGGAAAUUAAUUACAAACUCGAAUUUACAAGUCAAUUUUGUGAUUGCUGUCAGCGCAAAAAGCAGUGAACAU